AGUGAACGCUGGCGGUAGGCCUAACACAUGCAAGUCGAACGGCAGCACAGUAAGAGCUUGCUCUUACGGGUGGCGAGUGGCGGACGGGUGAGGAAUACAUCGGAAUCUACUUUUUCGUGGGGGAUAACGUAGGGAAACUUACGCUAAUACCGCAUACGACCUACGGGUGAAAGCAUGGGAUCUUCGGACUUUGCGCGAUUGAAUGAGCCGAUGUCGGAUUAGCUAGUUGGCGGGGUAAAGGCCCACCAAGGCGACGAUCCGUAGCUGGUCUGAGAGGAUGAUCAGCCACACUGGAACUGAGACACGGUCCAGACUCCUACGGGAGGCAGCAGUGGGGAAUAUUGGACAAUGGGCGCAAGCCUGAUCCAGCCAUACCGCGUGGGUGAAGAAGGCCUUCGGGUUUUAAAGCCCUUUUGUUGGGAAAGAAAAGCAGCAGGUUAAUACCCCGCUGUUCUGACGGUACCCAAAGAAUAAGCACCGGCUAACUUCGUG
rnacentral:rRNA from 1 species